rnacentral:lncRNA from 1 species
GUGUCUGUGGCGGUGGGAUCCCGCGGCCGUGUUUUCCUGGUGGCCCGGCCAUGCCUGAGGUUUCUCCCUCAGCCGCCCCUCUGCGGGCUCCCAGACGGAAUGAAGUUGAUAAUAGUGAGACCUUGUUGGUACAAGACUAUGUAACAUAACCUGCGCUUCUCAACAAAGAAUUGCUUUUCUGACUUCUGCACUCAAUAGCAAGACAAAUCUCUCCUCUGCCUUCUCCUUAUCAGACUACUCAACAUGAAGGCAAUAAGAAUGAAGACCUCUAUGUAUAAUAAUUGACUUCCACUUAAUAAAUACCUGAACAGAUGUUGAGUACAAGCUGAUCCACCUACGUUCAACCUGAGAGAGUCCACAUCCACAGACUGUUUCAUUUCCCUUUUUCAAUUUACAUAGAAGCAUAGAUUCUUGCUGGCAUAUACAAAUGCGCCAUUUAAGGCAAUCAAAAAUGGUUCCACAUCUCAUCUGAUUUCCACAAUUGUUGCUGUAACGAUGGACUACUGAGGAGAGAGACAAUUUCUCUGGCACAUCUUCCCACAUUUUAGCAACAUGUUCAUGGAGAGCCAAUAUUCAGUAAUUACAGCCCAAUUCCUCACAAUUUCACAAUUCGCUAACAAUAUGCAUUUUCACAAUGUAAAGCUGAUUUUCCUUUAACCAAAUCAAACAUGAAAAGAUAGCUGCAUGCAAUGGGCAAUCUAGAUCAUUAGAAGAUUGAUGUAAAAUUAGAGGACACUGAGACUGGAAUAGAUUGCAAACUUCAGGGAGCUCAGAAAACUUGUAAACUCUACAUUUUGAGGAAAUAUGUUGUCGAUGCUUUUGCAACUCUAUGCAGUAACUUAACAAAUAAAGCCUUAAAGUAACUUA